rnacentral:rRNA from 1 species
UACAGAGGUCUCGAGCGUUGUUCGGAUUCAUUGGGCGUAAAGGGCGCGUAGGCGGCGGGGUAAGUCUGGUGUGAAAUCUCGGAGCUCAACUCCGAAAUUGCACUGGAUACUGCUCUGCUAGAGGGCUGGAGAGGAGAUCGGAAUUCACGGUGUAGCGGUGAAAUGCGUAGAUAUCGUAAGGAAGACCAGUGGCGAAGGCGGGUCUCUGGACAGUUCCUGACGCUGAGGCACGAAGGCCAGGGGAGCAAACGGG